rnacentral:rRNA from 1 species
UAAGGAAUAUUGGUCAAUGGGCGGAAGCCUGAACCAGCCAUGCCGCGUGCAGGAUGACUGCCCUAUGGGUUGUAAACUGCUUUUGUCCAGGAAUAAACCUAGAUACGUGUAUCUAGCUGAAUGUACUGGAAGAAUAAGGAUCGGCUAACUCCGUGCCAGCAGCCGCGGUAAUACGGAGGAUCCGAGCGUUAUCCGGAUUUAUUGGGUUUAAAGGGUGCGUAGGCGGCCUAUUAAGUCAGGGGUGAAAUACGGUGGCUCAACCAUCGCAGUGCCUUUGAUACUGAUGGGCUUGAAUCCAUUUGAAGUGGGCGGAAUAAGACAAGUAGCGGUGAAAUGCAUAGAUAUGUCUUAGAACUCCGAUUGCGAAGGCAGCUCACUAAGCUGGUAUUGACGCUGAUGCACGAAAGCGUGGGGAUCGAACAGGAUUAGAUACCCUGGUAGUCCACGCCCUAAACGAUGAUAACUCGAUGUUGGCGAUAGACAGCCAGCGUCCAAGCGAAAGCGUUAAGUUAUCCACCUGGGGAG